rnacentral:rRNA from 1 species
UGGUGGGGUGACUUGUCUACUUAAUUGUGAUAACGAACGAGACCUUGACCUGCUAAAUAGCCAGGCUAGCUUUGGCUGGUCGCCGGCUUCUUAGAGGGACUAUCGGUUCAAGCCGAUGGAAGUGCGAGGCAAUAACA